rnacentral:rRNA from 1 species
AGCAUAUCAAUAAGCGGAGGAAAAGAAACCAACAGGGAUUGCCUCAGUAACGGCGAGUGAAGCGGCAAGAGCUCAAAUUUGAAAGCUGGCUCCUUCGGGGUCCGCAUUGUAAUUUGCAGAGGAUGCUUCGGGAGUGGCCCCCAUCUAAGUGCCCUGGAACGGGCCGUCAUAGAGGGUGAGAAUCCCGUCUGGGAUGGGGUGUCCACGCCCGUGUGAAGCUCCUUCGACGAGUCGAGUUGUUUGGGAAUGCAGCUCUAAAUGGGUGGUAAAUUUCAUCUAAAGCUAAAUACUGGCCGGAGACCGAUAGCGCACAAGUAGAGUGAUCGAAAGAUGAAAAGCACUUUGAAAAGAGAGUUAAACAGCACGUGAAAUUGUUGAAAGGGAAGCGCUUGCGACCAGACUCGCCCACGGGGUUCAGCCGGCAUUCGUGCCGGUGUACUUCCCCGCGGGCGGGCCAGCGUCGGUUUGGGCGGCCGGUCAAAGGCCCUCGGAAUGUAACGCCCCCCGGGGCGUCUUAUAGCCGAGGGUGCCAUGCGGCCAGCCCGGACCGAGGAACGCGCUUCGGCUCGGACGCUGGCAUAAUGGUCGUAAGCGACCCGUCUUGAAACACGGACCAAGGAGUCUAACAUCUACGCGAGUGUUCGGGUGUCAAACCCGUGCGCGCAGUGAAAGCGAACGGAGGUGGGAACCCCUCGGGGUGCACCAUCGACCGAUCCUGAUGUCUUCGGAUGGAUUUGAGUAAGAGCGUAGCUGUUGGGACCCGAAAGAUGGUGAACUAUGCCUGAAUAGGGCGAAGCCAGAGGAAACUCUGGUGGAGGCUCGCAGCGGUUCUGACGUGCAAAUCGAUCGUCAAAUUUGGGUAUAGGGGCGAAAGACUAAUCGAACCAUCUAGUAGCU